rnacentral:tRNA from 1 species
AGCCUAUCCAGUUAGAGCCAACCGCUCAUAACGGUUAGGUCACAGGUUCGAGUCCUGUAUGGUCCA